UGCCCCGUUGGGCUAUCUUCCUCCUCCGCCUCCUAUGCCCUCCCGCCUAUGUCUUCCAUCGAGGGAGUUGAGGAAUCGCGUUGGACUGGUGGCACUGCAGGUCACACUCCAGGCCCUAAUCGAGUUCAUCUCCCAUCCUUGAAGGACACGAUUGAGGCCAUCACAGAUUUUGUCUCUUGACGCAAUCAAUUCUCUCAGAAUCUUGGGAAAAAAAAUUCCUUUAUCGCCAUCUCUCUGCAAUUCUGGAUGGUCCCGUGGUCGGGAAGGAGCAGCCAAUGUCUCGAGUUCAACCUGUGGACUGUGGAAGAUGCCGGCGUAGAUCCAAUCACAAGCGCAUAUCUUUUGCUGCAACUGUGCAAGUCAUGGAUACAAGCUCGCGGCCUUCUCAACUACCAUCAGAAUUUCCAUAAUAUAUUAUACUCCCAUAACAAUGACGUGAGGGCGCAAGGAAUCAGGCCAUCUGGACGGAGAUGUUAGUGAAAGCUAAAGGCUUCCGGCAUCUCGCCGAAACAACUGCCGAGCAUCCAGUAAAGGAGGCUGAAACAACUUCCAAGCACCUUAUUAUAUGUACCUUCAAAAUCUAAUGUACGUAUGGAUUACCUACUCCUUUAAUUACUUUGUCUUCUGCUUGCAAGCUUAAUGCGCUUUGAAAUUUUACCCCCUAUGUGACUUAAAAACUUUGGAAAAAGUUCGAUUUGCUAUCUUCA